rnacentral:rRNA from 1 species
GAUGAACGCUGGCGGCGUGCCUAAUACAUGCAAGUCGAGCGAAUGGAUUAAGAGCUUGCUCUUAUGAAGUUAGCGGCGGACGGGUGAGUAACACGUGGGUAACCUGCCCAUAAGACUGGGAUAACUCCGGGAAACCGGGGCUAAUACCGGAUAGCAUUUUGAACCGCCUGGUUCGAUAUUGAAAGGCGGCUUCGGCUGUCACUUAUGGAUGGACCCGGGUCGCAUUAGCUAGUUGGUGAGGUAACGGCUCCCCAAGGCAACGAUGCUUAGCCUACCUGAGAGGGUGAUCGGCGACACUGGGACUGAGACACGGCCCAGACUCCUACGGGUGGCAGCAGUAGGGAAUCUUCCGCAAUGGACGAAAGUCUGACGGAGCAACGCCGCGUGAGUGAUGAAGGCUUUCUAGUCGUAAAACUCUGUUGUUAGGGAAGAACAAGUGCUAGUUGAAUAAGCUGGCACCUUGACGGUACCUAACCAGAAAGCCACGGCUAACUACGUGCCAGCCGCCGCGGUAA